GAAAUUUGAGAAGAAUGAGAAAACCACUUUGGUCUCGAUUGGUGCUCGUUUAUAUCUAGGAGAUGGAAAUGUGACAUAAAGGAGAUCUCAUCUUCAAUUUUGCUUUGCUAUGGGCCGACUUUACUGUCA